rnacentral:lncRNA from 1 species
AUCUGGGUUGGUCGGAGACCUUAUUACGCACUAACGUGGGAGAAGUUAUGGGCACUCGGCAUCGUGGUAUCAACCGUACCUCUUCAGACGUCACCAAUUGAGUGGCGCUCGCCUGAGUGGUCCGGAUAUGCAUCGCUCUUGUAAUAAGGGGUGCUAGGACUGACCUCGGCCGCCCACGCAUCAUGCAGGAGUGCAAAGGGUGAUGGGUCCAUGACCCCUGCGUGCUUAGGGUUUAGACCGGCGGGCUGGCCUCUCUGUUGAGUCUAGGUGGGGCUGCGACGUGUCAAUAUUCCAAGGCCGGGCGUGACCCAGAAAAGUGUGCCCGGCCAGAGUUUUGUCGAGCGUGACGGGGAAUAUGUUGUGCACCCCUGCAGGGAAGAACUUAUCUAUUCGAAUAGUCGUGUCCACAGUUACAGGACGACUUGGAGUUGUGCCUCAAUCUUAUACAACUACAACUAUUAAUUAACUGGAAUGUUGCUUUGGGAUUGCUUCCUCGCAGGUUGUUGAGGAAGAAUCUCUGGGAGGGACCUCAUUUUAUUAUUGCUGCAACAAUAUGACUAUUAAUUGUGUUACCUGUUCUACUCUCGUCUAUUGAUGCAAGACCCCUGAAGAUGCUAGUCUUCGAUAGGACUAGGCCUUCUCUCUCUAUUCUCGCAUUGCUGCAGUCAGCCCACAUAUAAACCCCUUCCUUUGAUACUGAUGUAAACUUAGCAUAGUUCUGAUGUUAGUCUUGCGAGUACUUUGGAUGAGUACUCACCGUUGCUUUGCUCCCCCUUUGUCCCCUUGACACAUUGCCGUGACCAGACGAUGGAGCCCAGGAGAUGGAGUAUCCCGUCGGUGACGAUUGCUACCCUGACGGUGCCUACUACUAUGUGGAGGCCGCUGAAGACCAGGAGUAGUUUAGGAGGUUCCCAGGCAGGAGGCCUCACCUCGUUCAAUCGUUGUAUCUUUUGUGCUAACCUUCUCUAAGGCACCUCAUGUUUAAUGUCUGUACUCAGAUAUUUGUUGCUUCCGCUGGCUCGUGUGUUUAUCGAGCUUCUGUAUUCUAGCCCACGAGGCCCCUGGCUUGUAAUAUGAAGCUUGUAUGU